rnacentral:piRNA from 1 species
UCCUACAGGCUGCGCCGUACCCAUCUCCAG